rnacentral:rRNA from 1 species
UAGGGAAUCUUCCACAAUGGACGCAAGUCUGAUGGAGCAACGCCGCGUGAGUGAAGAAGGUUUUCGGACCGUAAAGCUCUGUUGUUGGUGAAGAAGGAUAGAGGUAGUAACUGGCCUUUAUUUGACGGUAAUCAACCAGAAAGUCAUGGCUAACUACGUGCCAGCAGCCGCGGUAAUACGUAGGUGGCAAGCGUUGUCCGGAUUUAUUGGGCGUAAAGCGAGCGCAGGCGGAAGAAUAAGUCUGAUGUGAAAGCCCUCGGCUUAACCGAGGAAUUGCAUCGGAAACUGUUUUUCUUGAGUGCAGAA